CCAAGAAGCCCAGCCAGCCCUGGGCAUGGGUGCUAAGAGAUGUCUGGGCUCAGGAAUUUCCUGGCAGGAGCAGCAGUGCCCAUGUUUGUCUCCGGGCAUCCCCAGCCGGGGGGCCAAGCAAGAGAGGCAACAAUGCCAGACCUGGCCACUGUAUCAAAGACAACAAGGAAGGCCCAUUGCCUGCCCUCAUGCUGGUUGUUCAGCCCUCCAAGAAUCAUUCUUGAUGCCCUGCAAGUACCAGGCGCUGCGCUAGGC
rnacentral:lncRNA from 1 species